CUUUCAGCUCAGUUAUUUUACUAUUUGUUGUAAAAACAUGGAAUUUUCUAGAUAAAUGUUUUAGUUCUUCGCGUCUUUAAAAAAAAAUUGGGGGCAGGGGUGGAGAGCCGGCACUGCAGAGUAGCUGGUAAAGCCUCUGUCUGCAACACUAGCAUCCCAUAUGGGCUCCAGUUUGAGUCCUGGCUGCUCCACUUCUGAUCUAGCUCCAUGCUAAUGUGCCUGCGAAAGCAGCAAAAGAUGGUCCAAGUCCUUGUGCCCCAUGACCUGGAGGAAGCUCCAGGUCCUGGCUCCUGGAUCAGCCAAACUCUGGCCAUUGUGGUCAUUUGGGGAGUGAACCAGUAAAUAGAAGACCUCUCUCUCUCUCUCUCUCUCUUUCUCUCUGUAAAUCUACCUUUCAAUAACUACAAAAAUCUUUUUUAAAAAUUUUGUAUAUGUAUGUCCUUGUUUUAAAGUUCUGUUUAGGCAAAAUAUGUUUACCAGCCAGAAAAUGCAGAUAUUAAGGGAUUUUAUUCAUAACAGGUUAGAUUUUUUCUUCUGAAAGUUUAAAACAAACACUUUAAAGUGGAUGAGUCUAUAAUUUUGAGUAAAAUUUUCAGUCAAAUGUAAUUGCUUUAUAGGUUUAACUCUGGCCAGAGUAAUUUGUGUUCUUUCUAUGUAUUACUCUAACUGUAAUAAAGCUGUUUAUGCAAAUGUGAACUUGUUAUUUUUGCAGAAUCUUUCCAGCUAUGUAGGGUUGUAACGUAAAACUCUCAUUCAAGAUCAAAAUUCCACAUAUUUGCAACCUGCAAACAUCUAAAAUUCACACUUCAACAUCUGUGUGGCUGCCAACAUCUACUGCCAUCAUCUACUGCCAUCUAUAUCAUGUUUUUCCAGAGUGGAAGGAAAAAAAAAUGAGAUGGCAUUUCCAAAGCAGUAGAGAAGCACUGAUGCAGGGAUAUAGUGAAACAACCAUAGAAAUAGAGAGAGAGAUCUGUCUAGAUGUCUUCAACCUCCCCAACAGACAAGCUGUCUCAUGAGUGUCUCCUAACACAGCAGAGCUAUCAAGUUGAUAAUAUGAAUUCAAGACUAAAUGGCUGAACACUCAUCAGACACUGUCUGUUCAUUUGCAGAGAAAUUUGUGGCUGACAUUUGAAAUUGUGAAGAUAAAUUAAAAAAAAUCAUGUGGCCACAUAAAAGUAGCAUAUACCAUUACUGCAUUUUAAAAUUCCUAAGUAUGAAGACUAUCC
rnacentral:lncRNA from 1 species